UUUUAUGGAUGAGUAACAAAAGUAAUUUCUUGAGAUGGAAACUACUCCUGAUAAAGAUGCUGUGAA
rnacentral:pre_miRNA from 2 species